rnacentral:tRNA from 1 species
CUUUUAAAGGAUAAUAGUAAUCCAUUGGUUUACGAGCC